rnacentral:rRNA from 1 species
GACGUAGGUGGCGAACGUUAUCCGGAAUUAUUGGGCGUAAAGGGUGCGUAGGUGGCCUGACAAGUUAUCAGUGGCAAAUCGAGGCUCAACCUCGUGGAAACUGGUAAUACUGUUCGGCUUGAGUACAGGAGAGGUUAACGGAACUCUAUGUGGAGCGGUAAAAUGCACAGAUUUAUAGAAGAACAUCAAUAAAGGCGAAGGCAGUUAACUAUUCUGUUACUGACACUGAGGCACGAAAGCGUGGGGAGCAAAACGG